AGGCAAACUUAGGUAGGGUUGGGGGGAAACUUUGUGAAGACAGAGAUGGAGUUUUGUUUAACUUUGUAUACCCAGCAGCUUGCAUGAUGUUUGGAACGUAGUAGGUGCUCAAUAAAUAUUUGGCAAAUGGAAGCUAGGUACUUGUUAAGGUGUCUUUUCUACCUUGAUUUUAUUUUACUUUUCUUUCAGUGCUUCCUACAUCACUUAAAGCCUCUUUUGGAGUAAAUGUAAGGCGUAAUUUUGUGGGAUAUACAUGAAACCAGCAUCGUGCUAGGUUUUUUGAGUGAAUCAGAAAGAAAUCAUAAGGCUGUCACCUGAUGCUGACUACCUGGUCCCUGGCUUUAAGAAGUGCACCACUUAGAUGGCUAACCAAGGCAGGAAUGUGAACAUGAGGACACCCUGUCUCAGGAUGAUGCCAGUGGCAUUCACAGGAAGUAAGAACAUAACAUGAACUUCAGAGAAAAUACGAACAGCAUUGAGAUAGGAGAAUUUCUCCCUAAGAAUGGCUUAUUUCUGAGAAAGAGGACUGUGAAGCCCCUUCAGUGAAAUGUGCAUGCAUUUUAAACAUUCCUACAGCAUGCCAGCCUCUUCCUGGGACUACUGGUCACGAGGAACACAGUGUGGAAACCCAGAGGAGGAAGUGGCUAACAGUGUCUGUGGAAGUUGAAGAAGAUUCCUCAGAGAAUGUGGUUUUGGGAUACAAUCUUAAAGGUGGAAAAGGUAGAGAAAAGUCUUCCCAGCUGGGGGAGUAACCAACUGAGGGAAUAAGGAAAGGAUGGUGCAUAAAGGGAAUGGCAGGAAACUCAGGAUACCUGUGGCAGAAGAAGCAUUUGACCCAGGGAGGGUAAAAAGCAAAGGGACCUCCAACGCUGUGCAAAGGACCAGGAGGAACAGGAGUCAAAGAAUCUGGACUUGUGUUUCCUGUUGUCCAUUCGGGAAUAACAACCACUUAUAGUUUGUCUCAGCAACUCCACCUAUUGACAGACUGGCUGUUCUCAGACCUAUUGCCUGCACCCCUAGAAUCUUCUGUCAGGUUCCACAGGAAGCCAUGUUCCCACGCUCCUCUGCUCUCUGACUUCGAGGUAGGUUCGGCCAAAGAGAGGAUUGGAAGCAGGAGGAGGGGAGAUGUCAGGGUGUGUCUCCUGUGCUCUCUCUGUCUUGAGGUGAGAGUCUGAGUCUCCUCCAUGGCUCCAGCACCUGCUGAUGCCUUCUGGGUUCUGAUGGGACCUCCUCCUCCAUGUGCCUCCAGCUCCUGGUGUGGUGGCAGUUUUCUACUGUUCCUAAUUCCUGGGUUGCCUCACCAUGUCGUUUGUUUGGCUUCUUAGUCAUUCACUCGCUUGUGUACCCAAUUGCCUCCAGUAAGCUCCCACUGCUUACAAAUCUAGAGCAGUUUCUAUUUGCUCUAUCACCUUUAAGGGUUAUGUCCAUUUUAUAUAUGGGAAAACUGAGGCUCAGGUAACUUAAGUAACUAGCUCUAGGCUACAUAGCUAUCAGGAUGCAGAACAAUCAUUUGAACCCAGGUCGGCUUGGUCCAGAGCUGUGACUGGGGAGGCUAAUGAACCCUCUCAGUGCAUUUUCCAUCUGUAAAAUUGGCAUUCCAGAAGAUGAGGAUUAAACAAUAGUG
rnacentral:lncRNA from 1 species